rnacentral:misc_RNA from 1 species
CUUGGUCAUUUAGAGGAAGUAAAAGUCGUAACAAGGUUUCCGUAGGUGAACCUGCGGAAGGAUCAUUACCGAGAGUUGCAGGCUUUUGUCUGCCAUCUCUUACCCAUGUCUUUUGCGUACUACACGUUUCCUCGGCAGGUCCGCCUGCCGUUAGGACCCCAUUAAACCAUUUGCAGUUGCAGUCAGCGUCUGAAAAAUUUAAUAAUUACAACUUUUAACAACGGAUCUCUUGGUUCUG